GCGUCCUGGCCCCCAGCCCCUCACCCAGACCAGGAGAGAACCCAGGCGUCCUGGUCCCUGGCCCCCAGCCCCUCACCCAGACCAGGAGAGAACCCAGACCCCAUGUGUCCUGGCCCCCAGCCCCUCACCCAGACCAGGAGAGAACCCAGGCGUCCUGGUCCCUGGCCCCCAGCCACCCAC